rnacentral:rRNA from 1 species
AACGAACGCUGGCGGCAUGCCUAACACAUGCAAGUCGAACGAGACCUUCGGGUCUAGUGGCGCACGGGUGCGUAACGCGUGGGAAUCUGCCCUUGGGUUCGGAAUAACAGUUGGAAACGACUGCUAAUACCGGAUGAUGACGUAAGUCCAAAGAUUUAUCGCCCAAGGAUGAGCCCGCGUAGGAUUAGCUAGUUGGUGAGGUAAAGGCUCACCAAGGCGACGAUCCUUAGCUGGUCUGAGAGGAUGAUCAGCCACACUGGGACUGAGACACGGCCCAGACUCCUACGGGAGGCAGCAGUGGGGAAUAUUGGACAAUGGCGAAAGGACCUCGAUCCAGCAAUGCCGCGUGAGUGAUGAAGG